CCUACGGGAGGCAGCAGUGAGGAAUAUUGGUCAAUGGGCGAAAGCCUGAACCAGCCAAGUAGCGUGCAGGAUGACGGCCCUACGGGUUGUAAACUGCUUUUAUACGGGAAUAACGCGCCUUACGUGUAGGGCUUUGCAUGUACCGUAUGACUACGGACCGGCUAAUUCCGUGCCAGCAGCCGCGGUAAGACGGAAGGUCCGUGCGUUAUCCGGAUUUAUUGGGUUGAAAGGGAGCGUAGGCCGCAUGUCAAGCGUGCUGUGAAAUGUCCGGGCUCAACCCGGGCAUUGCAGCGCGAACUGGCGUGCUGGAGUCCGCGGAAAGCAGGCGGAAUUCGCGGUGUAGCGGUGAAAUGCUUAGAUAUGACGAAGAACCCCGAUUGCGAAGGCAGCUUGCUGCAGCGGAACUGAUGCUGAUGCUCGAAAGCGCGGGUAUCGAACAGGAUUAGAUACCCCAGUAGUC
rnacentral:rRNA from 1 species